rnacentral:rRNA from 1 species
UACAGAGGGUGCGAGCGUUGUCCGGAUUAUUGGGCGUAAAGAGCGUGUAGGCGGUUUGGUAGGUCCGCUGUGAAACUCGAGGCUCAACCUCGAGACGCCGGUGGAAACCAUCAGGCUAGAGUCCGGAAGAGGAGAGUGGAAUUCCUGGUGUAGCGGUGAAUGCGCAGAUAUCGGGAAGAACACCCGUGGCGAAGGCGGCUCUCUGGAACGCAACUGACGCUGAGACACGAAAGCGUGGUAGCAAACAGG